UUGGACCAGUGGCUUACGAGAUAGCCUUACCCCCGCAGUUGGCGAACCUCCAUCCGGUGUUUCAUGUGUCACAGCUAAGGAAGUAUGUAUUCGAUCCGGCCCACGUGUUGGAGGCUGAAGAUAUACGGAUCAGGGAAAACCUCUCAGUGGAAGUACCACCCAUAGCUCUUGAGGAUAGUAAGGUUGAGGAACGUCGUGGGAAGAGUGUUAGCCUUGUUAAAGUCAUCUGGGAUCGGAGGACGGGUGACUCGACUUGGGAGUUAGAGGAGGACAUGAGAAAAUCACAUCCACAUCUGUUUACCUGGUGAGUCUUUAUUUUCGAGGUCGAAAAUUUUGUUGGUGGGGAGAAUGUAAGGCCCCAUUUCUUUCCUGCCCUAAAAGCUAGUGGGCUGCCCUACAGUAUUGGGCCUAAAAGGCUGGCCCAUGAUAUAAAGACCCUUAGCGUUGCCCUAAUUCCACACUUCUUGCAUUUUCAGAAAACCUUGCUGCAACCGUCAACCCCCUCUGCUAGGGUUCCGCCGCAGCUGUUACGUGAGCCAGGAAGUUUCGUUACUCCAUCCCUAUAGUGCAUCCUUGGAGCUGCCGUGCUCGUGGUCACAUAGUAGAGGUCUUCGCUAAGUUUUCCAGAUGGGCGAGGUUCUCAUGGUCAACAAGCGAAUGGUGGUUC